ACAGCUCCGAGCAGUGGAUCACUCGGCUCGCGGGUCGAUGAAGAACGCAGCCAGCUGCGAGAUUUGGUGUGAAUUGCAGAACACUCAGAUCACUGAUUAUUCGAACGCACAUUGCGGCUCCCGCUCCUCUGCGGGAGCCUCGCCUGUCUGAGGGUCGCGUGAUGCAUGCAGAGGUUCUUUCCUCGGAAGGUGACCAAACGGCCCCUUCGGAUUCGUCCGUGGGCUCAGAGAACGAUCUCUCCCGGGGAUCGACCGCAAACGUACCCCCGGGAGUAAGAUAAAGGGAUAACUAUGAUAAGAAGCGACCUCAGAUCAGACGAGAGAACCGCCGAACUUAAGCAUAUCAGUAAGCGGAGGAAAAGAAAACAACAGUGAUUCCCCCAGUAGCGGCGAGCGAAAAGGGAAGAGCCCAGCGCCGAAUCCCUGCGUCGAGAGGCGCAAUCUGGGAAAUGUGGCGUAAGGAGUGCGCGCAGGUCCGCCGCAGGGUUCGAGGUAAGUCCCCCUGACAGGGGCUUUUCCCGUGGCGGGUGCCAGGCCCGUGUCCUCGAGCCCCUCGGCGGUGCCGGCGCCUCCGGAGAGUCGGGUUGCUCGGGAGUGCAGCCCCAAGGCGGGAGGUAGACUCCUCCCAAGGCUAAAUACGACCGCGAGACCGAUAGCAAACAAGUACCGUGAGGGAAAGUUGCAAAGAACUUUGAAGAGAGAGUUCAAGAGACGUGAAACUGCUCGGAGGGAAACGGGUGGGCCCUC
rnacentral:rRNA from 1 species